AGAUAAAAUGAUGAUUUUAUAUCGCCCCAGUCUGAAGAAAUGUGUUGAUCGAUUUUUCUGAUUAUAG